CAAUAGCGUAUAUUAAAGUUGUUGCGGUUAAAAAGCUCGUAGUUGGAUUUCUGCUGAGAACGACCGGUCCGCCCUUUGGGUGUGUAUCUGGCUCUUUCUUGGCAUCUUCUUGGUGAACGUUGCUGCACUUGACUGUGUGGAGCGCUACCCAGGACUUUUACUUUGAGGAAAUUAGAGUGUUUCAAGCAGGCAUACGCCUUGAAUACAUUAGCAUGGAAUAAUAAGAUAGGACCUCGGUUCUAUUUUGUUGGUUUCUAGAGCUGAGGUAAUGAUUAAUAGGGAUAGUUGGGGGCAUUCGUAUUUAACUGUCAGAGGUGAAAUUCUUGGAUUUGUUAAAGACGGACUACUGCGAAANCANNNGCCAAGGAUGUUUUCAUNGG
rnacentral:rRNA from 1 species